rnacentral:siRNA from 1 species
GAUGUCAGAAUCCUCAUCAGCUGA